AUGACUAGAAGACAACACGAAAAGGGAAGUUAUUUUCUUCUUCCACUUUUCCCUGAUGAGAUGGCCUUCGCUGCAAGACACUUACAUCCAGUUUUAGGUUAUGGUAACUGGUCAUGGGAAAUAUUGGUGCUCUGAUCUUGUAUAGGAAGGCUGGGCUAGUUUUGUUUUUGAUUAUGAGUGGCAAUGGCGAGGCUUUUGGGGGGUAGCCAAGGCAAUGUAGACUUUGGAUGGCGGAGAGGGAGUCAAUGGAGAUGAGAAGUUCACCUGUGUUCACGUGUUCGGUGAGUUGUAGUGCUUUAAGGAUGGCUAGCAGUUCGGCUGAGCAGAUGUUGGUCGUAGGCUACCCGCAAAGGCACUGUGUGGAGGACUGAAGACUCCCAAGCCGGCUUGCCCCGUUGUGGGGUCCACUGUGGCUGUGGAGAGGUUGUGACAUCCUACUCACAGAACAACCAAUAUCAUACUCACUGGAGUCACCGGAAUGAAACUUGUAUUCGUGUGUUUGUGACUUCGAAUCUUCGCUGACAAUUGUUGCACCAUGAAAGUGGGGAUGUUGUGGUUGUAGUGCGCAUGAGCUACUAAUAUGGCAGCAAAGUGACAACUGACAACCAACAGCAACAAUGCUGUCAUGGAGAAGUGUGAAAAUGAGAAUGCAGAAGACCUUCGCUGUUUUAUGAGGAUGAUUUAUUUUUGUUUUGUGUUUAUUUUGAAUUUAUGAACUGCCCACUAGUUUUACAAGUUUUGUUGUUGAAUUUUAUUUAAUUUGUUUUCAUUUAUGUUUAGUCUAUUGUAUUUUUAUACAAAAAUAAAUGUAUAUUAAUUAUCACAA